AGGGAUAUAGCUCAAUCAGGUCAGAGCAUCGCUCUCAUAAAGCGCAGGUUCUCGGUUCAAAUCCGAGUAUCCCUACCA
rnacentral:tRNA from 1 species